UAAGCUCCACAGAGUACUAGACGCCAAUCACGUAUUAUCCUCGAUUUUCCUAAGCACCAUGAGGUAUUAUCUUUGAUUUUAAUCCGAGAUUUAACUUAAGUGCGCCGAUUUCGGCGCACUAAAAUAAAUCCCAGAUUUGCAAAAAGUUGGCUGCGUUCUUAAAUUUGACUACACGCCUACUACUACACCGCGAACCAUGACGUAAAAAAUGAAAACAAGAACGAGAAAACAAAACAUUUUCGCGUGAUUGAUUGCCCGAGCCGGAGGCACCCAACAGACCCGCUGUGAAUUCUCCUGCUUGCGGUAACUAAACAAGUUUUUAUUUUUGUGAUGCAAAUCGUCGGUCUUUUCUAAACUUUCUAAACUGGAAUCGACAAUCUGGACGAGAUACGAAAGUGCAAUAGACAAGAGCCACCGGAUGAGCCAGAACCAGUUGGCCUGAACUGCAACUCUUCUGAAUCCGGAUGAUAGCGGCCGUUGCUCAGCGGAAGUUUUUCAUUGUGUACAACUGCUAGAGGAUAGGAGAAGGUUACGCAGAAUUUGGAAUGAAAGUAGAUGAAAGGUUCCACCAAAAAUGUUCCGGGGAACCAUUCAGACAACGGGGCAAACGUUUAUUGUGGCCAGGCGGCGGUCCAGAAGAAGGGGAUGCUAAUUAAACGAAGGUACGGUGUGAAGUGCGAUGGGAAAUUGACCGGGUUGGUACGGCGCGACGUCCUACUUCAAUUUACUAACAUGUAUUUCCGGAAAGUGGGAUGGAGCAGCAGGAGGUAAUACAAUCCAUCGAGGCUCGACCGCAUUAUCAACUCCGCCAACCAAGACGCAUCAAAGUUCCUAGAUCGUUUGAACAAAGUAACGGAAUGAAGAACAAAGAUUUUCUUCACCUCUUGGAAAUUCUAACUUGAUUCUAUUCUGCCCUAUUUGGGCUUGUGUUAAAAUUAUAAAUUAAUUUUAUUUUCUGCCAUGAAC